rnacentral:rRNA from 1 species
UGAGGAAUAUUGGUCAAUGGGCGAGAGCCUGAACCAGCCAAGUCGCGUGAAGGAUGAAGGAUCUAUGGUUCGUAAACUUCUUUUAUAGGGGAAUAAAGUUCAGGACGUGUCCUGUUUUGUAUGUACCCUAUGAAUAAGGAUCGGCUAACUCCGUGCCAGCAGCCGCGGUAAUACGGAGGAUCCGAGCGUUAUCCGGAUUUAUUGGGUUUAAAGGGUGCGUAGGUGGUUUUUUAAGUCAGCGGUGAAAGUUUGUGGCUCAACCAUAAAAUUGCCGUUGAAACUGGAGGACUUGAGUAUGUUUGAGGUAGGCGGAAUGCGUGGUGUAGCGGUGAAAUGCAUAGAUAUCACGCAGAACUCCAAUUGCGAAGGCAGCUUACUAAACCAUAACUGACACUGAAGCACGAAAGCGUGGGGAUCAAACAGG